rnacentral:rRNA from 1 species
GCUUGCUGCAUGCUUUAUACAUGCAAGUCGAACGAAGGCCCUAGCUUGCUAGGUGUCCUUAGUGGCGCACGGGUGAGUAACACGUGGGAACAUACCUCAUAGUACGGAAUAACUGCGGGAAACUGUAGCUAAUACCGUAUAUUCCAGUAAUGGGAAAGAUUUAUCGCUAUGAGAUUGGCCCGCGCAAGAUUAGCUUGUUGGUAAGGUAAUAGCUUACCAAGGCUCCGAUCUUUAGCUGGUUUGAGAGGAUGAUCAGCCACACUGGGACUGAGACACGGCCCAGACUCCUACGGGAGGCAGCAGUAGGGAAUAUUGGACAAUGGGGGAAACCCUGAUCCAGCAAUGCAGCGUGAGUGACGAAGGCCUUAGGGUUGUAAAACUCUUUCAUCGGUGAGGAUAAUGACAGUAGCCGAAGAAGAAGGACCGGCUAAUUCCGUGCCAGCAGCCGCGGUAAUACGGAAGGUCCUAGCGUUGUUCGGAAUUACUGGGCGUAAAGCGCAUGUAGGCGGAACAAAAAGUUAGAAGUGAAAUCCCUGGGCUCAACCUAGGAAUGGCUUUUAAAACUUUUGUUCUGGAAUUCAGGAGAGGAAAAUGGAAUUUCCAGUGUAGAGGUGAAAUUCGUAGAUAUUGGAAGGAACACCAGUGGCGAAGGCGAUUUUCUGGACUGAUAUUGACGCUGAGAUGCGAAGGCAUGGGUAGCAAACGGGAUUAGAUACCCCGGUAGUCCAUGCAGUAAACGAUGGGUGCUAGUCGUCGGACUUUUGUUCGGUGUCGUAGCUAACGCGUUAAGCACCCCGCCUGGGGAGUACGGUCGCAAGAUUAAAACUC